rnacentral:rRNA from 1 species
UACGAAGGGGGCUAGCGUUGCUCGGAAUCACUGGGCGUAAAGCGCACGUAGGCGGAUUGCUAAGUCAGGGGUGAAAUCCUGGAGCUCAACUCCAGAACUGCCUUUGAUACUGGCGAUCUUGAGUCCGGGAGAGGUGAGUGGAACUGCGAGUGUAGAGGUGAAAUUCGUAGAUAUUCGCAAGAACACCAGUGGCGAAGGCGGCUCACUGGCUCGACACUGACGCUGAGGUGCGAAAGCGUGGGGAGCAAACAGG